ensembl:lncRNA
UCUGCUAUUAAUAGGUCAGCUAUGAUUUCUCAGAGUUGGACCUUAUCGCUCGGCUACCUACCAGACCUUCAUCACAACAUAAGGCCACGACCAUCCGAUAAAAUAACCUGAGCUUCUACGCACGUAGACCUGUAGCCGCGACGAGCGCCGUCGCCAUGGUAACGAAUGUUUCUGCCUGCUGGAUGACGACGGAGAGAGAACACGGCGUAUUGAUGACAGUGAGUUUCCUGUGACUGUGCCGGAGACGAUGGUAUGCUAAUGGCCCCCACACCUCACCAGAUGGGCUUUGUUUGUGGAUGCAGCUGCACAGUUACAGGCAAACGGGCUCGUCACAGGAGGCUUAUUGGGGGAAUGACGGAGAUCAGACAGCACCUGUCAGUCCAGCUGCUUUCAGUACAAUAGAGGGCCUGUGACAUGCACACGCGUGUCCUCCCGGGCCACGGGCCCUCGGUCAGCUUGUGUAAGCUGAGUGCACUGAACACCAGGUUGUGCUCCGUGAAGCCCAAUGAAGACGGUUGGCAGAUGUCACACGUUCAGGCAGUUCUGAGGGAAGUGAUGCUGUGACCGGGAGGUCUGAUGAAAUAAAUGUUCGCCCUGUUGGACAACGCCAUCCAUCAAACGUCCUCCCUUUGAUUAGCCUGGAGUGGUUUUCUCUGAAGCACUUUCAAACAGGCGCCACAGAAUACAGCACGCAGAGGAGCAUCGAGGCUCUUCAGAUGGACCGGUAAUAACAACAGAAUGAAAAAAGCCGUGAAUUCUCAUUUGCUAUGAGGAGGGAGCUCGUGUUCGAACUAAUAUGCUUCACAAAAGAUGUGUACAGCUCAUUUGAUGAGUCUUGAUUUAAUAAAAGCUGCUACUGAGAUUGGAGGUCCUUCACUUUAAUUAGCAACUUAUGAAGACGAGCUCAGGCUCAAAUAUUCAAUCUUUAGAAGUGAGGUGAUGAAACAGCUCUUUGAACUGUAUUUCUUUUCACAUGAUUGUAUGACGUACCGUGCAUCACAUUACAGAGAUUAGUAACGUAAGAGUCCAUCAUUUUAAGUGCAGUGUUUUCUUUCUUUCUUUUACAUUAAAUAAAAUCCAUUGCAUCCUUUCAUACAAAUUACCCCCC